GAUGAACGCUGACAGCAUGCUUAACACAUGCAAGUCAACUGUGGCGGACGGGUGAGUAACGCGUAAAGAACUUGCCUCACGGAUAGGGACAACAUUUGGAAACGAAUGCUAAUACCUGAUACUGUGAGAGAGCUUUGCGUCCCAUUUGCUAGUUGGAGAGGUAACGGCUCACUAAGGCGAUGAUGGGUAGCCGGCCUGGGAGGGUGAUCGGCCACAAGGGGACUGAGACACGGCCCUGAGUCCUACGGGAGGCAGCAGUGGGGAAUAUUGGACAAUGGACCAAAGUCUGAUCCAGCAAUUCUGUGUGCACGAUGAAGUUUUCGGAAUGUAAAGUGCUUUCAGUUGGGAAGCGGUACCAACAGAAGAAGGGACGGCUAAAUACGUGCCAGCAGCCGCGGUAAUAC
rnacentral:rRNA from 1 species